CCAGGGCUACACAGAGAAAUCUUGUCUCAAACACACAUACACACACACACACACACACACACACACACACACACACACACACACACACACACAGAGAGAGAGAGAGAGAGAGAGAGAGAGAGAGAGAGAGAGAGAGAGAGAGCGAGAGCACGGUUUGGAUUUUAACCUAUAUAUUUGCCUAAAUGUUUUGCUGCUGUGCUUAGGAUAUCAAGAUCUAAAGCUCAGCAUGUUAGGAUGGGUAGGGUGGGGGUUGAGGAAUACCCUGAGAGCACCAGUUCAGCGGGUCAGGAAGCCCUGGGGAGUAUAGCUCUGUGGGGGACCAGAGACCCAGGUCCACAUAGCCAAGCACGUGUCCUUUGGUUCUCCCACUGUGGUGGACAGCCCUGCCAGGCCAGCUUCCUUCAGAGCCCAUGACACAUUGUUGUCCAUUCCAGGGCAUAACUGGAGGCACAAAGGUGUAAGUCUGGGCCAGCCUGGGGUAGAUGGAAGUGAACUGCCUGGAAACAGCUGACUAGGGCUCCUGGGGAGUGCUGAAGAGCUAGGAUCUGAUAUUUUGGCCUCAGCUGAUAGUGAUGGGGAAGGUUCUAGAAGGGACUGAGCCCAGAUCACAGGUGGCUUCUGUGAAGCAACCUCACUGGGAGGAUCGUGCACCUUCACUUACUCACACACACACCCCCCCACCCUUGUCCCCUGCAAGCCCGCAUCCCGAUCUGGGCUCUGGGACAGAUCCUGGCUCCAGGGAUCAUAAGCUACAGAGCCUCUGGAAAUUUACUUACCUUU
rnacentral:lncRNA from 1 species